AGUCUUCUAACACUUUUCCUAUCGUUUCAACUGCAGUGUAAUCUGUUCCAUGUCUGCAACAAGGAGUAUCCACUACACUACCAUCCCAAGCUAAAACGGGAAAUUGUAGAACAUGUAAACAGCACAUGGAUUGGGGAAGCAGAAACUAAAGAGCGAUUGAGAAAACGGUACUUUCUUUCUCUCUGCCUGCACUCUUGGAGAGAAAGGACCCCUCUCUCACCAGCGGGAAAUGGAUAUUUUCCACACUUCCAGUUACCAAGUGCACUGUUCUUGCCGCACCUUCCCCCUCCCCAGCUUUUCUCCAUCUCGAUAGCUCUGUGUAUUGAAGCACAAGUAGAUCAGGACCCUUUGCUUACCAGCCAUCACAAGACCACCCUCCAGUGCAGUAGACUCUUGGAGUGAAAUAUUUACUUCUACAGAAUCCCUGAGUCACCAUUAUUCAUCCUCUAUUUAAUCUCAUCUAAUAGUAGAGGACUCCCGGGCUUACGGCCAAGUUCAUAGUUGAAAGCUAUAGCUAUAAGAAUGGAAUUGGAAAAGAUAAUGCUAAGUGAAGUUAGCCAAUCCCCAAAAAAACAAAUGCUGCAUGUUUUCUCUGAUAUAAGGAGGCCGACUCAUAGUGGGGUAGGGAGGGGGAGCAUGGGAGGAAUAGAUGAACUCUAGAUAGGGCAGAGGGGUGGGAGGGAAAGGGAGGGGACAGGGGGUUAGCAAGGAUGGUGGAAUGUGAUGGACAUCUUUAUCCAAAGUACAAGUAUGAAGAAACAAAUUGGUGUGAACAUACUGUAUAUACAGAGAGAGAUAUGAAAAAUCGUGCUCUAUAUGUGUAAUAUGAAUUGUAAUGCAUUCUGCUAUCAUUUAUUUUAAAAAAUCAAUUUAAAAAAAGAAAGUCAUUAGUCAUGUUGAGUCAAAACUGGCCUCUGAGAUGUCUACUCUUUUGUACAAGUCCUGUACUUGACUGCAGUGGUAGUCUCAAGGGGAAUUGUGAAAAUGUCCCCAAAGAUGGUCUUUAGUGGGGAACCCCUUGAUGGGCUUAGCUGUCACUUUCAACUCUCAGCGAGGCUGCAGGCACUAAUCAUGAAGGGCCUCUGACAUUAGAUGGAAGGACCCCAGUGGAAGGCUGGGGUCC
rnacentral:lncRNA from 1 species